rnacentral:lncRNA from 1 species
CUCUUAUCUAUCAAAUUCUAUGCUUCUUCUGCAGUUCAGAUGACCUCAAGCACCACUUGCUGGACUUUCCAACAAGAGCUCUGCAAGCAUCAUGCACAAAGACAGAUAUUCCUAUGAUGCUGCUUAUAGUGGGAGACAGAGGGAUGUAGCAGCUCCUGCCACAUGGACUGCCCCAGAUGUUUCUGAAGAUCUGUCUAAGUGUUAAUAUUCUUUGGCAAACAAACAGCUGACAUUUCUUUUGGCAAAAUGAACCACAAGACUCCUGAUCUGACGUCAAGGGGCUGACAACGGCUUUGUUCCAGAUGAAGCUGCUGGUGGCUGAAGUGGGUGCUGUGCACCAAACCACAUGUACCACUGCUCCUCUGAAUGGCAACAGAAGCUUUCACUGUGUUAAUCAUUUUCUAGUGGAUUAUUGUGGCCCAGUGACCUGUCCCGUAAAAUCUCACCCCAGGGUGUCCCAGGACAGCCUUCAGCUCCCAGCAGCACUGCAGCUACACAGAGCUGGCACUGAGUUCACAGACACCAGUUAUGGAAGAUCAUUGAUUCCAGGGAACAUCCAAAGCUGGCAGUCAGCUGUGCCCAGAAUAAGGCAAGGAAUCUGA